rnacentral:misc_RNA from 1 species
CCAAGCGAUGCAGAUAAGCAUCUGUUGGCACGACAGACUGGUUUAUCAAGGAAUCAGGUUUCGAAUUGGUUCAUUAAUGCAAGGGUUCGGUUGUGGAAACCCAUGGUGGAAGAGAUGUAUCAACAAGAGGCAAAAGAAGAGGAAGGAACGGUAGAAGAUAGAGAAAGAAAGCAAAGCAACAACAAUAGUGGGGUUGCACAAACACCAACGCCAAGUUCCACGCCAACGGCAUCCUCAUCAGCACCUCCAACAACCACAGCAACACCAACAGCAGCAGCAGGAGGCAAAAGAUCCGAAAAUGCCAAUGAAAACGACCCUUCACUUCUUGCAAUCAAUAGACAAUGCUUCUCGGAAAACCAAGCAAAACACUCCCCUUCAACCAUCGCGACCACCUUUAUUACUCCCACAAUAGAGGUGGCGCCACCACCACCCCAUCCCCAACCUUUCCAUGACUUGGCCGAUGAAACGCGUCGCCUUGGCAGCUUGGUUCCAGCUGACUAUGGGACCAC